AUUGAACGCUGGCGGCAUGCUUUACACAUGCAAGUCGAACGGUAACAGGCCGCAAGGUGCUGACGAGUGGCGAACGGGUGAGUAAUGCAUCGGAACGUGCCCAGUCGUGGGGGAUAACGCAGCGAAAGCUGCGCUAAUACCGCAUACGAUCUCUGGAUGAAGGCGGGGGACCGAAAGGCCUCGCGCGAUUGGAGCGGCCGAUGUCAGAUUAGGUAGUUGGUGGGGUAAAGGCCCACCAAGCCAACGAUCUGUAGCUGGUCUGAGAGGACGACCAGCCACACGGGGACUGGGACACGGCCCAGACUCCUGCGGGAGGCAGCAGUGGGGAAUUUGGGACAAUGGGCGCAAGCCUGAUCCAGCAAUGCCGCGUGCAGGAAGAAGGCCUUCGGGUUGUAAACUGCUUUUGUACGGAACGAAACGGUCCGGGUUAAUACCCUGGGCUAAUGACGGUACCGUAAGAAUAAGCACCGGCUAACUACGUGCCAGCCGCCGCUGUAACAC
rnacentral:rRNA from 1 species